GGGGGUGACUGGUUUCGACGUCGGUCACGAAGCCAUCGGAGCAUGUCGAGGUGUAGAGUUCCUCGUAAAUCCAGCUACACAAAAACAGUUGCCAACGACGACAACUACGCACUAGCCGCUUAAGUCGGCUAGUCCUUUCACCUGGCUCGCCUUCCGGCUGGGGUUUGAAAGGUCAAAUUAGAAAGGCUCGCUAGUCAGAUCUGUUCGUUAUCUGACGGUUAAAACCAAUCGAACUCGCCGCUCUGUAAGUCCGUCAGCCUACUGGCAGAGAGGUUAACUUAAAGCGCAGACUAAGCAUGUAGUAGCCGGUGAGUGUAGGAUCUACGGACGCGGGUUCGAUUCCCGCCACCUCCACCA
rnacentral:tmRNA from 1 species